CAAACUGGAGAUGGCGACCGGCGCACGGGUGAGUAACACGUAUCCAACCUGCCGAUAACUCGGGGAUAGCCUUUCGAAAGAAAGAUUAAUACCCGAUGGCAUAAUAGAACCGCAUGGUUUGAUUAUUAAAGAAUUUCGAUUAUCGAUGGGGAUGCGUUCCAUUAGGCAGUUGGUGGGGUAACGGCCCACCAAACCUUCGAUGGAUAGGGGUUCUGAGAGGAAGGUCCCCCACAUUGGAACUGAGACACGGUCCAAACUCCUACGGGAGGCAGCAUG
rnacentral:rRNA from 1 species